GGCCGCAUAGCAUAGUGGUAUUGCGCUUCCCUAGUAAGGAAGAGGUCGUGGGUUCGAUCCCCGCUGGGGCCU
rfam:Dictyostelium purpureum unplaced genomic scaffold DICPTscaffold_95, whole genome shotgun sequence.